rnacentral:rRNA from 1 species
GUGGGGAAUAUUGGGCAAUGGGCGCAAGCCUGACCCAGCAACGCCGCGUGAAGGAAGAAGGCUUUCUGGUUGUAAACUUCUUUUACCAGGGACGAAACAAAUGACGGUACCUGGUGAAUAAGCCACGGCUAACUACGUGCCAGCAGCCGCGGUAAUACGUAGGUGGCGAGCGUUAUCCGGAUUUAUUGGGUGUAAAGGGCGUGUAGGCGGGACAGCAAGUCAGAUGUGAAAACCAGAGGCUCAACCUCUGGCCUGCAUUUGAAACUGUUGUUCUUGAGUGUCGGAGAGGUAAUCGGAAUUCCGUGUGUAGCGGUGAAAUGCGUAGAUAUACGGAGGAACACCAGUGGCGAAGGCGACUCACUGGCCCAAUACUGACGCUGAGGCGCGAAAGCGUGGGGAGCAAACAGGAUUAGAAACCCUGGUAGUCC